UGGGGAAUAUUGGACAAUGGGCGAAAGCCUGAUCCAGCCAUGCCGCGUGUGUGAAGAAGGUCUUCGGAUUGUAAAGCACUUUAAGUUGGGAGGAAGGGCAGUAAGCGAAUACCUUGCUGUUUUGACGAUACCGACAGAAUAAGCACCGGCUAACUCUGUGCCAGCAGCCGCGGUAAUACAGAGGGUGCAAGCGUUAAUCGGAAUUACUGGGCGUAAAGCGCGCGUAGGUGGUUCGUUAAGUUGAAUGUGAAAGCCCCGGGCUCAACCUGGGAACUGCAUCCAAAACUGGCGAGCGAGAGUAGGGCAGAGGGUGGUGGAAUUUCCUGAGUAGCGGUGAAAUGAGUAGAUAUAGGAAGGAACACCAGUGGCGAAGGCGACCACCUGGGCUCAUACUGACACUGAGGUGCGAAAGCGUGGGGAGCAAACAGG
rnacentral:rRNA from 1 species